CCUCCAAGGCUAAAUACUCUCUAUCGACCGAUAGUGAACCAGUACCGUGAGGGAAAGGCGAAAAGAACCCCGGAGAGGGGAGUGAAAUAGAACCUGAAACCGUGUGCAUACAAGCAGUGGGAGCCGUAAGGUGACUGCGUACCUUUUGUAUAAUGGGUCAGCGACUUACUUUCAGUAGCAAGGUUAACCGUUUAGGGGAGCCGUAGAGAAAUCGAGUCUUAACUGGGCGAUCAGUUGCUGGAAGUAGACCCGAAACCGAGCGAUCUAUCCAUGGCCAGGGUGAAGGUUAGGUAACACUGACUGGAGGCCCGAACCCACAUCUGUUGAAAAAGAUGGGGAUGAGCUGUGGAUCGGAGUGAAAGGCUAAUCAAGCUCGGAGAUAGCUGGUUCUCCUCGAAAGCUAUUUAGGUAGCGCCUCAUGUCUCACCUUGGGGGGUAGAGCACUGUUUCGGCUAGGGGGUCAUCCCGACUUACCAACCCGAUGCAAACUCCGAAUACCGAGGAGUGCAAUCAUGGGAGACACACGGCGGGUGCUAACGUCCGUCGUGGAAAGGGAAACAACCCAGACCGCCAGCUAAGGUCCCAAAAUCUAGAUUAAGUGGGAAACGAUGUGGGAAGGCACAGACAGCUAGGAGGUUGGCUUAGAAGCAGCCACCCUUUAAAGAAAGCGUAAUAGCUCACUAGUCGAGUCGGCCUGCGCGGAAGAUGUAACGGGGCUAAAUCUAGUACCGAAGCUGCGGAUCUCGUAAGAGAUGGUAGAGGAGCGUUCUGUAAGUCUGUGAAGGUGAAUCGUAAGGUUUGCUGGAGAUAUCAGAAGUGCGAAUGCUGACAUGAGUAACGAUAAAGGGGGUGAAAAACCCCCUCGCUGAAAGACCAAGGGUUCCUGUCCAACGUUAAUCGGGGCAGGGUGAGUCGACCCCUAAGGCGAGGGCGAAAGCCGUAGUCGAUGGGAAACAGGUUAAUAUUCCUGUACCACCACGUGAUGCGAUGGAGGGACGGAGUAGGCUAGGUGAUCAGGGCGUUGGUUGUCCCUGUUCAAGGAUGUAGGCAGAGAGCUUAGGCAAAUCCGGGCUCUUAAUGCUGAGAUCUGAUGUCGAGUUUCUACGGAAACGAAGUCAUUGAUGCCAUGCUUCCAAGAAAAGCUUCUAAGCUUCAGUCACGUGGGAUCGUACCCGAAACCGACACAGGUGGUCAGGUCGAGAAGACCAAAGCGCUUGAGAGAACUUGGGUGAAGGAACUAGGCAAAAUGGCACCGUAACUUCGGGAGAAGGUGCGCCGGUGACGGUGAUGGACCUCGCGUCUUAAGCUGUUGCCGGUCGAAGUAACCAGGCCGCUGCGACUGUUUAUUAAAAACACAGCACUCUGCAAACUCGUAAGAGGACGUAUAGGGUGUGACGCCUGCCCGGUGCCGGAAGGUUAAUUGAUGGGGUUAGACUUAUGUCGAAGCUCUUGAUCGAAGCCCCGGUAAACGGCGGCCGUAACUAUAACGGUCCUAAGGUAGCGAAAUUCCUUGUCGGGUAAGUUCCGACCUGCACGAAUGGCGUAACGAUGGCCACACUGUCUCCACCAGAGACUCAGUGAAAUUGAAAUUGCGGUUAAGAUGCCGUAUACCCGCGGCUAGACGGAAAGACCCCGUGAACCUUUACUACAGCUUUGCACUGAACUUUGAACCUACUUGUGUAGGAUAGCUGGGAGGCGUUGAAGCCAUGUCGCCAGAUAUGGUGGAGCCACACUUGAAAUACCAGCCUGGUAUGUUUGGAGUUCUAACCUAGGCCCCUUAUCGGGGUUGGGGACAGUGUAUGGUGGGUAGUUUGACUGGGGCGGUCUCCUCCCAAAGCGUAACGGAGGAGCACGAAGGUACACUAAUCAUGGUCGGACAUCAUGAGGUUAGUGCAAUGGCAUAAGUGUGCUUGACUGCGAGACAGACACGUCGAGCAGGUACGAAAGUAGGUCAUAGUGAUCCGGUGGUUCUG
rnacentral:rRNA from 1 species